UACGUAGGGGGCGAGCGUUGUCCGGAUUUAUUGGGCGUAAAGAGCGUGUAGGCGGCCAGGUAGGUCUGCUGUGAAAACUCGAGGCUCAACCUCGAGACGUCGGCGGAAACCAUCUGGCUAGAGUCCGGAAGAGGAGAGUGGAAUUCCUGGUGUAGCGGUGAAAUGCGUAGAUAUCUGGAGGAACACCGGUGGCGAAGGCGGCAUCCUGGACCGGCAUUGACGCUGAGGCGCGAAAGCCAGGGGAGCAAACGGG
rnacentral:rRNA from 1 species